rnacentral:lncRNA from 1 species
GUCGUGUGGCCUCAGUCCUUCGCCGUCCCUCGCCGUCCUUCGCCAUCGCACGCCACCGCACCCCAUCUCUCGAAAUCUGCAGACAUCUUGAUUUUUCCCACGCUGUCUGUCAGGUCUCCGCCGCCACUCGACGCCAGGGCGCCGGGCCUUGUGGGCUGUGCUGCACCUCGGACGGCUUCGCACCAGCCAGCGCCCUCUCUCUCCUGCAGCACUCUGAUCUGCACCCCCUGAGGGGCUUCCACUGUCCGCGGGGUGAGAAUGCCCCUGGGAGUGUCACAUGACUGCCGCCCCAUGUGUGUGAGAGGCGUCCUCUGGGAGAGCAUGGAUCCUGAGGUCCCAGGAUUGUCAGCUGACCUCUGUCCUGUGUGCCCAGUGGCCCCAGGUGACGUGUCUUCAAGAAGAGGCUGAGCUGCGGUGCUUGUAAGGCAGGGUCUCAUUCUGUCACCCAGGCUGGAGUGCAGUGGUGCAAUGAUGGCUCACUGCAGCCUCGACCUGGGCUCAAGUGAUCCUCCACCUCAGCUUCCUGAGUAGCUGGGACCACAGGUCUCAGCCUUAGAUCCAAGGACAGUCCAAGGAAGUCCUAAGACCAUGGAGUUGGUGAUCUGGGAUCUGGGUUUGCUGAUAUUUCUCACCGUGAAUCUCUUGGUGGUGUUUGUGGGCACGAGAGGGGCAGAGAAUGGAGAGUGAGGCUACCACAUGAAGCGUCACCAGAGCUGCUCCCUGCUGCCUGCUCAGAGCACCCCGGAUCCACUGUUCAAUCUGCACAAGAUUCGGGGUCCAGACAUGGGAGACUUCAGCUGCCUCAGAGGACCGUGGACAGGGAAGGCCAGCCUCGCAUCCCUCUGUCCAUGCCUGGAAUGACUUUAAUAACCAAGAGUUUUAUUUUUGAAUUUGUAGCUGUCGUUCACUUUUUACCCACCCAUUCAAUAAACCUUACAGAAUUGCUCCA